rnacentral:rRNA from 1 species
CGACUUAGAGUAACAAUUGAUGCACUACGGUGGUUAGCAUUCCAAGCUUGUCCCUUUCGAGGACAUGAUGAAACUCUUGAUUCAAGAAACCAAGGCAAUGUUCUUGAAAUGGUUAAAUUGGUAGCUUCUUAUGAUGAGAAAAUUGGUGCAGUUGUAUUGGGUAAUGCUCCUGUGAAUGCAAAGUAUACCUCACAUCCAAUUCAAACAGAAAUUCUGCACAUAAUUGCUUCCAAUGUGCAAAGGGAAAUUCGUAAAGAAAUUGGUGAUGCUAAGUUCUGCUUGCUUGUUGAUGAGUCAAGAGAUGAAGCAAAAAGGGAGCAAAUGGCAGUGGUUAUUCAUUUUGUUGAUAAACCCGGUUUCACUCAGGAGCGUUUUAUUGAUAUUGUUCAUGUCGCAGAUACAUCCUCGGCUACUCUAAAACAAGAGUUAUCUUCUAUUUUGGCUCAAUAUCAGUUAGAUGUGCACAAUAUCCGUGGACAAGGAUACGAUGGUGCUAGUAACAUGCGUGGGGAGUGGAACGGACUACAAGCCAAGUUCAUGGAAGAGUGUCCCUAUGCAUAUUACAUCCAUUGUUUUGCUCAUCAAUUGCAGCUUGCUCUAGUUGCUGCAUCUAAAGAAGUAGCUGAUGUGCACAACUUUUUUGACCAUCUUGCUCUUGUUGUCAAUACUGUGUCUUCUAGUAAGAGAAGUGAUGAGCUACAUGCUAAUCAAGUUGCUGAAAUGGAGCGUCUGAUUGAGCUAUGUGAGCUUGAAACUGGAAGUGGGGCUAAUCUUGCUUCAUAG